GACGAACGCUGGCGGCGUGCCUAAUACAUGCAAGUUGAGCGCUGAAGGUUGGUACUUGUACUGACUGGAUGAGCAGCGAACGGGUGAGUAACGCGUGGGGAAUCUGCCUUUGAGCGGGGGACAACAUUUGGAAACGAAUGCUAAUACCGCAUAAAAACUUUAAACACAAGUUUUAAGAUUGAAAGAUGCAAUUGCAUCACUCAAAGAUGAUCCCGCGUUGUAUUAGCUAGUUGGUGAGGGAAAGGCCCACCAAGGCGAUGGUACAUAGCCGACCUGGGAGGGUGAUCGGCCACCUUGGGACUGAGACACGGCCCAAACUCCUACGGGAGGCAGCAGUAGGGGAUCUUCGGCCAUGGACGAAAGUCUGACCGAGCAACGCCGCGUGAGUGAAGAAGGUUUUCGGAUCGUAAAACUCUGUUGGUAGAGAAGAACGUUGGUGAGAGUGGAAAGCUCAUCAAGUGACGGUAACUACCCAGAAAGCGACGGCUAACUACGUG
rnacentral:rRNA from 1 species